rnacentral:rRNA from 1 species
UACGAAGGGUGCAAGCGUUAAUCGGAAUUAUUGGGCGUAAAGCGCGCGUAGGCGGUUUGUUAAGUCUGCUGUGAAAUCCCCGGGCUCAACCUGGGAACGGCAGUGGAUACUGGCAAGCUAGAGUGUGUCAGAGGGUGGUGGAAUUCCCGGUGUAGCGGUGAAAUGCGUAGAGAUCGGGAGGAACAUCAGUGGCGAAGGCGGCCACCUGGGACAACACUGACGCUGAGGCGCGAAAGCGUGGGGAGCAAACAGG